rnacentral:rRNA from 1 species
GAUGAACGCUGGCGGCGUGCCUAAUACAUGCAAGUCGAGCGAAUGGAUUGAGAGCUUGCUCUCAAGAAGUUAGCGGCGGACGGGUGAGUAACACGUGGGCAACCUGCCUGUAAGACUGGGAUAACUCCGGGAAACCGGAGCUAAUACCGGAUAACUUUUCGAACCGCAUGGUUCGGAGAUAAAAGACGGUUAUGCUGUCACUUACAGAUGGGCCCGCGGCGCAUUAGCUAGUUGGUGAGGUAAUGGCUCACCAAGGCGACGAUGCGUAGCCGACCUGAGAGGGUGAUCGGCCACACUGGGACUGAGACACGGCCCAGACUCCUACGGGAGGCAGCAGUAGGGAAUCUUCCGCAAUGGACGAAAGUCUGACGGAGCAACGCCGCGUGAGUGAUGAAGGUUUUCGGAUCGUAAAGCUCUGUUGUUAGGGAAGAACAAGUGCGGGAGUCACUGCCCGCACCUUGACGGUACCUAACCAGAAAGCCACGGCUAACUACGUGCCAGCCGCCGCAGUAACAC